UAAAUGUGAACUUCAUGACACCAGACGAGUUGGAUAGCUGCUCCCCUGACGUGCUGGUUCAGCCCUCUGGAGCUGAGUGAACCAAGAACACAGAGAGAGGCGGUCGAACUCGGCGAUCGGCAUCCCGAACAGCUCCAAGAACUGCUCCGGAGAGAGAUGCCUCUGAAGGAGGAGGAGGAGGAGGUGAAGGAGAAGGGAAGGAGGAGGAGAAGAUUUAUUAAACAUCCUGAUAACAGUUAGAAAGAAGGAAAUUACAUCCAGCAGAGUGAAAACAUGACACAUACACAACUAAUCAAACACACACAGAAACACGACACACAGAAACACGACACACACAGAAACACGACACACACCUCCAGUCGAGUGCGGUCGACUCCUGGUGGCAGCUUACAGCGCCCUCUGUGGGUCACAACCAGAGCUUCAUACGGAUAAAUCUAAAAAAAAAAAAAAAA